AUGGAUCUGAGAACGCUGUCUGGGCUUGGUACCAAGAGCUGGUAUUUCACAGCAGCGACCGCCUCACAGACGAGCUGUGGGAAGCAGGAGGGAGACUCUCUCUUAGGGUGCCACUACUAUGGAGACACAGCUGGGCUGAACAAGAUUUGCUUCAAACGACAACAAGAGAGACAGAAAGUAUCUGGUUCAACCGCUGCCCGAGCAGGCAGGCACCAGAAGAGCUAGCAGCCAAUCCGGCCAUGCUCGAAGCCAGCUCUGCAGCUCAGCCAAUCAGUGACAUCAUUGCUUUCUUUAGCUUGCCCAUGGUGAUGUGAAGAUGAGAAGAAAUAGCAAGGCCCAACCAGUUCUUCAUCUGGAGACAGUUCAACGUUCUGCAAACCAGAUCUUCAGGAAUUUUACUGGGAUAAUUAUCCAAAUAAAUUGCAAGCAUUCUAUCCAAAUGGAGCUCUUUCUGAGAUGAAGAGAAUUCUCAAUGUCAAGAUUUGAACAAGAAGAGAAUGGAAUACACAAUAUGGACAUCCAUAAAAAUUCAUCAGAGAGCAUUUUACUACUGAGCUGCAAAGAUGACAAGAGCACCUCAAAGGCAGCAGCCUCAAGGAGCAGCCAUGGCCCCAGACUUGUCGCACGGAUGCAGAAAACUUAAUGGAGGAGGCUGAGGUCAGAAUGGGAAGAGUUUUUAAAAAAUAAAAAGGGGAGCUAAUAUGUGAGGAACUGAUUGCUGUGCAUUAUUUUCCACUGAACAGACCUUCUUUUAACUUCUAAUCUCAAGCACAUAGCAGCUGUUGUUUUCAUAUUAAAGAUCAGUAAGUGUUUGUUGAAUGAAUGUAUAAAUUCUUCCCCAAUCUCUGUUCCAUGUAAUAAGAACUAAGUUAGCAUUCAAUUAUAAAGAGGACUUAGAAAGUCUGCAGACAUUUUUGAUCAAAAAUCCUUUUAACUGUCUUCUUAUGGUUCCCGGUAACACCUAAGCCCAAAAAACUCAGGUCAUUUCUUGCCUGUACUGUUGCAAUAGCCUCAUAAUAACUAGUCUUCUCCUUUAUCAACCACAGUCGUCUCCGCUACACAAAGAAGAGAGGGUGCUAAUCUAAAGUGUAAAUUAUUUUAAAUCAGCACCCUUCUUGUAAUUUCCCAGUGGUUUUUCCUGUCAUAAGAAUAACAUGCAAAAUUCCUUGCUUGCAAAGCCAGGUAUGACCUUGCCCCGUCUACCUUACUGGCAUCGUCUCUCAUGACUCUUCCCCUUUUUCACUCUCCAUCUUGCCUUUUCCCAACCAUGCCUGCUAGUGAGCCUUAGCCCUUGUGUUUUCUCUGCCAGGGAUGCAUGACUGGCUUCUUUACUUUAUUCUGAUCUCUCUGCUCAAAUGUCAUCUUUUUAGAGAUAGCUUUCCUAAACAUCUUUAAAAGUACCCCAUGAACUGUGAAACACCUUUCCUGCUUUUUCUUCAUAGUACUUAUCACUUCCUGAUAUUAUGUUAGACAACAAGCAAAUAAGUAUAUGCUGUUCCCACUAAAAUAUAAGCUCCAUUUGAACAGGAGCCUUGAUUAUUCCUGAGUAUACCCCUAGUGCCCAGAACCUAGUAGGGCUUUAAUAAAUAUUAGAUUCAUUUGUUGAAUGAAAAAAUGAAUGAAUAAUUGAAUAAAGAUAUCCAGGUAGAGUGUCCGGGCAGCCCAACCUAUGUGAAGCCAGUACAAGAAUGUUUCUGUGACAUAGUGAGCGCAAUUAUUCCUCUAAAUGAUGAACUUGCAUGAGUACACAAGGAUAAAAUUAAGCACGUAGUUUAGAUUUCUGCAAGUCUCUUCCUCAGAUUGAGGAAAAACAAAGAAAUUGAGCUUAUUCUCACCUCAUUCUUACAUGAACUAAAUCCAGAAUAAAGCAUCAUUUAAAUACCAAGCACAUCCCUACCUCAGCCACUCAUGGAAUACUUUAUCUGUAAAGGGACAGAUAGAUAGUAAAUAUUUUUGGCUUUGGGGACCGUACAGUCUGUGUCGCCACUACUCAGCACUUCUGUUGAGGUGUGGAAUCAGCCCUAGACAACACAUAAACAAAUGGGUGUGGCUGUGUUCCAAUAAAAUGUUAUUUAUAAAACUAGGAAAUCAGCAGAUUUAGUCCACAGGCUGUAGUUUGCUGACCCUUGAAUUAGAGAGUCUUCCCCAAAUCCUCUUCCCAAGUUAUUGAAAGAAUGCCCAUAGGACCAUAGCUCCCUCACCUGGUUCUUUCAAGAAAUGAGACAAAUUCAGGGAUGGUUGGAGGGUGGAACGCCUACCUGUGACAUGACUAUUGAGCCUGAUUUCUUUCCUUUUAUCUCUUUAAAGUGAGUCAGGUCUUAACUUUAAACUGUCUCUAAAGUGGCAAUAACUGGGCCAUGUCAAAUACUCCCAAUGACAAAAUUUCUUCUUGGAGAAUGAAUGAGGGUUGCAUACAGUGGUGUGUUGGUAAAUGUUUAGCAACUGGCUCUCUUACUGAUUUCUGUAGUGUAAAUUCUCCCAUCCUGGCCAUCUGAAACUACCAAUAUGAUGUCACUUGAUGUAGAGUUGGGAAAAGACAGUCUCUUGAAUAAGUAUGAGCUGGUUCCAGCCCACUGCUGAACACAUAUUUAAAAGCUACAAUAGCUCUGCUCACUGCCAUUGCAGAGUCUGGAGGAAAGAGUAGCAGGCUUGAUAGGAGCAAUUGGCUGAAUAAUCUUUUGCAAUGCCAAUAAAUAAUGAAAAAGUAUAUAAAUAUAACGCUGUAUAGAAAGCUCUCAAGUUCAGUGUUUGGUUAAAAUACAUACUCAGUAAAUGGUAGCUAUUAUUGUCUUAGUUUAAGUUAUUGCAAGCAUUAAAAUUAAAUGUUUAGCUACAGACUCAAUCCAGUUUUAAUGUCAUUGUGUUAAUAAGGCCUCUUAACAUUGAAGCAACAAAGAUAAAGGAAUUUUUUUGUAGCUAUUCACGAUUCUGCCCAGCUCAAGGUAAAGAUAGCAACAAAAUACUCCAACCAGAAUAAAAGAAGUCUCCACUUGACUGCAGCUCUUCGCAACACUUCACAAGGGUCAAGCUGUGUUAGUUUCCUUCAGUGUUAAACAGAAUGCAUCUUAAGAGAAUAGUUCAAUUAUUGAUUGAAUAGUAGGUUCAAGUUGACUAUAAUCCCAACUAAUACACUCUAAGACCAGGGAUGGGCCGACAGAAGGGUAAAGUUUUCCACUCAAGUCUCGAGGCAAACACUCAGAUAGAAGUAGUAAUAUGGAUGCCUUCUAUUAUUUGGUCACAUACAAUACUGUUCCAGCCCAGUUGUGCAAAACUGGUGAAAUAAAAGGCAAAAAUAUUGACAACAGUUUGGGUAACUGGAUUCCAAAAUGGGCAUCCAUCUAAGAGAAAUUAAUGAAAAAAAAGCAUAUGGACCUUGAAAUACAUUAAUACACAGUUUAGGUUUAAACACUCAGUUUUUAUUAGAAAAGACUAACUUAUCCUGUUUUGAACACUACAAAAGUGCUUUCUGAACCAUUUACUCUCAAACCUCCUCCACCCAUUCCCCUCCAUCUAUAACGCUUUCUGCACAUCUGUAAAAGGUAUGACUUAGUGUUUGGUCUGUGAAAUAAGGUUAAAAAGGAAGCAUUUCUUUUUACAUUCUAGCUAAUGUUGAUAUUUUUCUCAUGCUUCUAUUAGCACAUAAUUCAGAUACAUUAGUUUUGAAGUUUUGAAUCUUCUCUGCUUCUUGAGGGCUCUCUGUUCUAGAUCAACAUGAUCUGUGGAACACCAGCCAAGUCCUGGGCAGAACCCUCCCCGUUGUCCAAAUAUUACUGAAUCAGUUGAGUUUUCUCUGUUGUCAAUGAAUUAUUCCACAUGUUUCUUUGGCUACAUUUUUUUUGGCUUUCUGUUCACAGUAAAUAUAGCCUUUGUUUUUAAAAACUUCUAUUAUGAAAAUUCCAAAUAUAUGCAAAUUAGAGAGAAUAGCAUAAUGAACCUCUAUGUGCUUAUCACACAUAUAGGUUCAACUAAUUAAAUUAUAUCAAUUUAUGGCCAAUCUGGUUUCAUUUAUAACAUCAUUCGCUCAUUCCUAACUCCCUGGAUUAUUUGAUUGACAUGUUUCUAAAGUUCCUUUUAAUCUGUAGGUUCCCCCUCUCAUUUAAUCUUUUGCAACUUAUUCAUUGAUGAAACUGGGUUAUUUGUCCUUUAUUGUUUCUCUCAUUCUGAAAUAUGCUGUAAUGUCAUUAACCAUAUUCUUCUUUCCUGUAUUUUCUGUAAGCUUUGAGCUAGGCAGAAAUAUUUUAAUCAGAUUCCUUUUUUUUUCUUUUAGCAAGAUUUCUUCAUAAAUAAUAUUGUAUGUGUUCAUGAAAAUAGAAAUAAAAAUAGAAAUAAAGAAGAAAUAACAGAAAA
rnacentral:lncRNA from 1 species